UACGUAGGGAGCAAGCGUUGUCCGGAAUCAUUGGGCGUAAAGCGCGCGUAGGUGGCCCCAUAAGUCCGCUGUGAAAGUCCAGGGCUCAACCCUGGGAUGCCGGUGGAUACUGUCGGGCUCGAGUCCGGAAGAGGAGUGUGGAAUUCCUGGUGUAGCGGUGAAAUGCGCAGAUAUCAGGAGGAACACCAAUGGCGAAGGCAGCACUCUGGGACGUGACUGACGCUGAGACGCGAAAGCGUGGGGAGCAAACAGG
rnacentral:rRNA from 1 species